rnacentral:lncRNA from 1 species
CCCCUAUCCGAUAUCCAGAUCUUUCCCCAACAAGUAAUCCUACGCAGCCCAACCCUUGCACCAAACUAGUUCCUGUGACGGUGAUGUUGGUGCUUUCUUGGUUUAAUUGGGUAACAAAUUGAACUUGGAAGCAUUAUUUUUAUAAUUACUGGACGAUAUCACCCCUGCCUGAUUCCACACGCAAGGAUUAAUAAGAAAUUCCCCGGG